rnacentral:rRNA from 1 species
UACGUAGGGAGCAAGCGUUGUUCGGAUUUACUGGGCGUAAAGGGCGCGUAGGCGGCGGGGUAAGUCACUUGUGAAAUCUCUGAGCUUAACUCAGAACGGCCAAGUGAUACUGCAGUGCUAGAGUGCAGAAGGGGCAAUCGGAAUUCUUGGUGUAGCGGUGAAAUGCGUAGAUAUCAAGAGGAACACCUGAGGUGAAGACGGGUUGCUAGGCUGACACUGACGCUGAGGCGCGAAAGCCAGGGGAGCAAACGGG